UACGUAGGGGGCAAGCGUUGUCCGGAUUUAUUGGGCGUAAAGAGCGUGUAGGCGGCUUGACAGGUCUGCUGUGAAAACUCGAGGCUCAACCUCGAGAUGUCGGCGGAAACCGUCUGGCUGGAGUCCGGAAGAGGAGAGUGGAAUUCCUGGUGUAGCGGUGAAAUGCGCAGAUAUCAGGAAGAACACCCGUGGCGAAGGCGGCUCUCUGGGACGGUACUGACGCUGAGACGCGAAAGCGUGGGGAGCGAACAGG
rnacentral:rRNA from 1 species